UCUCGCUCCCUUCUCUUCCUCCGAAUCCGGUUCUUCCCCUUCUUCAGUGGUUGUUCUUCCAGCGCUCACUGGAAGUGCGGUGCCCGCUCCUCUUUUCUCAGGUGCUCCUCCCUUCUUAGGCAAGGCUUCUUAGGCAAGGCUGCUUCCAGUCGUUGCUGGCAGCUCCUUGGUUCGAUAGGGGUGGCGUGCGGAGUUGGUUUCCGGCGUCCUUCCUCGCUGGUCGCCGGCCGCGACGUAGGUUUGCUGCUGCUGGGUUCCUGUGAGGAGCCAGAACUGCUUGUCAUUGCAAGCUUGGCAACGAUGACCCUCAACUGGCGUCUCGGCAACGUGACGAGGGUUUGGAGGUGGAGCAUUUUGAGAGAGCGUCGGGCUGGCUCUCUCUUCCUUCAUGUGAAAACCAAGUUCCUUUCAGGACGAGCGUUGACAGCAUCCUUGGUGUUGUUCCCUUGUUGGAGGCUUCGCUCAGAAGGUUUUUACUCCACUGGUGAUUGUUUGGUGGUGCUGGAGACCUCGUUUGCAUUAUAUGUUGUCGAAGCUGCUUGCCACUGUAAGCUCGGCAACGACGACUUUUGUGAUAUCUCAGUAGUUUCUUUCUUUUCCCUUUCCCUUUCUGUAUAUUUUUUUGCCGGUUUCCUAUUUAAUUAA
rnacentral:lncRNA from 1 species